rnacentral:rRNA from 1 species
UACGAAGGGGGCUAGCGUUGCUCGGAAUCACUGGGCGUAAAGCGCACGUAGGCGGCUCCUUAAGUCAGGGGUGAAAUCCUGGAGCUCAACUCCAGAACUGCCUUUGAUACUGAGAAGCUUGAGUCCGGGAGAGGUGAGUGGAACUGCGAGUGUAGAGGUGAAAUUCGUAGAUAUUCGCAAGAACACCAGUGGCGAAGGCGGCUCACUGGCCCGGUACUGACGCUGAGGUGCGAAAGCGUGGGGAGCAAACAGG